rnacentral:rRNA from 1 species
CAGCCGCCGCGGUAACACGGAGGGAGCUAGCGUUGUUCGGAAUUACUGGGCGUAAAGCGCACGUAGGCGGCUUUGUAAGUUAGAGGUGAAAGCCUGGAGCUCAACUCCAGAACUGCCUUUAAGACUGCAUCGCUUGAAUCCAGGAGAGGUGAGUGGAAUUCCGAGUGUAGAGGUGAAAUUCGUAGAUAUUCGGAAGAACACCAGUGGCGAAGGCGGCUCACUGGACUGGUAUUGACGCUGAGGUGCGAAAGCGUGGGGAGCAAACAGGAUUAGAGACCCCUGUAGUCCCUGUCUCUUAUAC